rnacentral:rRNA from 1 species
CCUACGGGAGGCAGCAGUGGGGAAUAUUGCACAAUGGGCGAAAGCCUGAUGCAGCGACGCCGCGUGAGUGAAGAAGUAUUUCGGUAUGUAAAGCUCUAUCAGCAGGGAAGAAAAUGACGGUACCUGACUAAGAAGCCCCGGCUAACUACGUGCCAGCAGCCGCGGUAAUACGUAGGGGGCAAGCGUUAUCCGGAUUUACUGGGUGUAAAGGGAGCGUAGACGGCGAAGCAAGUCUGAAGUGAAAACCCAGGGCUCAACCCUGGGACUGCUUUGGAAACUGUUUUGCUAGAGUGUCGGAGAGGUAAGUGGAAUUCCUAGUGUAGCGGUGAAAUGCGUAGAUAUUAGGAGGAACACCAGUGGCGAAGGCGGCUUACUGGACGAUAACUGACGUUGAGGCUCGAAAGCGUGGGGAGCAAACAGGAUUAGAUACCCUUGUAGUC